rnacentral:lncRNA from 1 species
UGACAUGCAUCCGCGGUCCAACCUUUGCCAUUUAGGUCAUCUGAACCUCUUCAGACUUCUUUCCAGUCGAUGGUGGAGCUUCACUAAGGUUGUCCUGUUUCAUCCUGUCUCUUUAUCAAUUGUGCCAAUGUUCUUUCUUGAGCUCUACAAGUUGCUUCCUAAGGACUAGGCUUCGAUCCCUAUGUGUCAACCCCAGGGAUCUCACAUAUUUAUUAUUUGUAAAUGACCGCUUGCUAAUAGAUCGGACAACCAUCUAAAAUAUUGUCAAUUUCAUAAGAAUCCUAGAGGUUUACCACUUUGCCUUAGGACAGAAGAUGAAUCUCCUCAAAUCAGUUGUUUAUUUUAGUCUGAGGACAAAGGCCCAAUUG